rnacentral:rRNA from 1 species
UUUAAGCGUGUAGGUGUGUGUUCCAGGUAAAUCCGGUUCACUUUAACACUGAGGCGUGAUGACGAGGCACUACGGUGCUGAAGCAACAAAUGCCCUGCUUCCAGGAAAAGCCUCUAAGCAUCAGGUAACAUCAAAUCGUACCCCAAACCGACACAGGUGGUCAGGUAGAGAAUACCAAGGCGCUUGAGAGAACUCGGGUGAAGGAACUAGGCAAAAUGGUGCCGUAACUUCGGGAGAAGGCACGCUGACAUGUAGGUGAAGUGAUUUACUCAUGGAGCUGAAGUCAGUCGAAGAUACCAGCUGGCUGCAACUGUUUAUUAAAAACACAGCACUGUGCAAACACGAAAGUGGACGUAUACGGUGUGACGCCUGCCCGGUGCCGGAAGGUUAAUUGAUGGGGUCAGCGCAAGCGAAGCUCCUGAUCGAAGCCCCGGUAAACGGCGGCCGUAACUAUAACGGUCCUAAGGUAGCGAAAUUCCUUGUCGGGUAAGUUCCGACCUGCACGAAUGGCGUAAUGAUGGCCAGGCUGUCUCCACCCGAGACUCAGUGAAAUUGAACUCGCUGUGAAGAUGCAGUGUACCCGCGGCAAGACGGAAAGACCCCGUGAACCUUUACUAUAGCUUGACACUGAACAUUGAGCCUUGAUGUGUAGGAUAGGUGGGAGGCUUUGAAGUGUGGACGCCAGUCUGCAUGGAGCCGACCUUGAAAUACCACCCUUUAAUGUUUGAUGUUCUAACGUGGACCCGUGAUCCGGGUUGCGGACAGUGUCUGGUGGGUAGUUUGACUGGGGCGGUCUCCUCCUAAAGAGUAACGGAGGAGCACGAAGGUUGGCUAAUCCUGGUCGGACAUCAGGAGGUUAGUGCAAUGGCAUAAGCCAGCUUGACUGCGAGCGUGACGGCGCGAGCAGGUGCGAAAGCAGGUCAUAGUGAUCCGGUGGUUCUGAAUGGAAGGGCCAUCGCUCAACGGAUAAAAGGUACUCCGGGGAUAACAGGCUGAUACCGCCCAAGAGUUCAUAUCGACGGCGGUGUUUGGCACCUCGAUGUCGGCUCAUCACAUCCUGGGGCUGAAGUAGGUCCCAAGGGUAUGGCUGUUCGCCAUUUAAAGUGGUACGCGAGCUGGGUUUAGAACGUCGUGAGACAGUUCGGUCCCUAUCUGCCGUGGGCGCUGGAGAACUGAGGGGGGCUGCUCCUAGUACGAGAGGACCGGAGUGGACGCAUCACUGGUGUUCGGGUUGUCAUGCCAAUGGCACUGCCCGGUAGCUAAAUGCGGAAGAGAUAAGUGCUGAAAGCAUCUAAGCACGAAACUUGCCCCGAGAUGAGUUCUCCCUGAGACUUAGAGUCUCCUGAAGGAACGUUGAAGACGACGACGUUGAUAGGCCGGGUGUGUAAGCGCAGCGAUGCGUUGAGCUAACCGGUACUAAUGAACCGUGAGGCUUAACCUUACAACGCCGAAG